CUUGUCUGUGUUGCCGUUUGUGUUAAAGGCACCACAAGCCACUGGAGAGAGUAUUACACAAUGUUUUCAUUAUGUGGUUUUGCCUUAAUUGGAUUGGACAUCAGCAAAGAAGCUGUGGUUUUCAUAUUUUUUUUUUUCACCGAGACUGACCAGAACUGGCAAUUUAUGGCUCAUAGAGCUGAUGAUUUAGCACUUUCUGAGUUAGAUCUGGAGCCAAGUGCUGCAGUAAUUAUUCUGCAGCAAUUUCUAAUGGAUCUUCGAAAGCUCAGCCUAUGGCUGAGUGAGGCUCAGAGGCAGUGCAGAAAUGCAGAAGCGGAACCAACAAAAUGGAGGAAGUGGUCACUUGCAGUCUGAAUCGCAUUGUUGCCAUUCUUUUCCAAAGAGAGCUUGCAGGCUUCAAUGAAAGUGACUAAAGUUGCUCACUUUUUUUUUUUUUUUUUAACAGAAAUCAGAGCAAAACUAUUAUACAUGUGUGUAUAUAUGUUUGCUGGAAAGUUGCACUAAAAUCACUUGUAAUCCACCCCAUCUUGCUGCUUUUUCCAACAACUGAAGACAUUAUUUAACAGCCUGAUGAUCUAGCUAACCCAGAGAACUUGAAGAAGGCUUGACACGUGCAGUCAUUUGAGUACCAGUGCCAAGAGGAAGUGACAAAGCAGCUCCUAGGGCAAUAUGGAUCUCCAGCUGAUCAGCUAAGAUCUCCUUCUUCAGUGAUGCUCCCGUUCUCAUUUUCUUCAAACUCAGGCUGUGUGGACAAGGAAGUUCGGGUGACAAAUUACAAAAACAAAAAAAAACUUGAGAAGUGCCAUCUGCUGAAGAUCAUGCUGCAAGACAAGCAGUGCCAAAAAGAGAACUCAGCCUUGAGCCAGUGCUCCCGUCAGACUUACAGUUGCAUCCUGCAUGAUUCUGGUUACUGAAUUGGUCCUGUUCAACUUAAAGCUGCUGUCAGCAAGACGGAGUGUCAGAAAAAUAUAACUUCUUUCAUAAAAUUCUUCAUGUGUAUUUUGGAAAAAGUUUAAUUAGCUGUCAAAUUUUCCUUGUGCAUUUUCAUUUCCAAGUUCCACAUCUAAGCAGUGAGUGGUGGCUCACAGCUUUCUGGUUUAUAGAAAGCGUACUGUUGUACAAAGUUCACCUGGUUUUAUUCUAGACUGAUCUCCAAAAGAGGACUUCCUGUACUGUCUAUAUCUGCUUCCUACAAUUACUGUUUUACUGAAAUCAGUUUUAAAGCAGUUGUCUGAUUCCAUCAUCAUUUGACAGAAAUGAAAAAAAAAAAAUCAUUUCUAUAUGAAAUAAAAUCAUUUCUAUAGAACAAGUGAAAAUACGGAGGAGACCCUGCUAGCAAUCUGGCUGCAGGAUAAAGCUUUGCUUUUCCUGCCACCCAUAGAGCUACUCCCCUGUCCUCACCCUCCUCCUGUUAGUUUGUCCCUUCUGUUAAUCCCCUUUCAAUGUCUUGCUAUUGAAAAAGGAAGUCUAUUAUAUUUUUCUCAUGAAUGGUCACUGUUACCGCUAAAAAUCAGCGUUGGAUAUAAG
ensembl:lncRNA